rnacentral:rRNA from 1 species
AUACGGGAGGCAGCAGUAGGGAAUCUUGCGCAAUGGGCGAAAGCCUGACGCAGCGACGCCGCGUGGAGGAUGACGUUCUUCGGAAUGUAAACUCCUUUUGUGAGGGAAGAAACGCCGAUUGGUCGGCCUGACGGUACCUCAUGAAUAAGCUCCGGCUAACUUCGUGCCAGCAGCCGCGGUAAUACGAGGGGAGCAAGUGUUGUUCGGAUUUACUGGGUGUAAAGGGAGCGCAGGCGGUCUUGUAAGUCAGAGGUGAAAUGUCCACGCUUAACGUGGUCACUGCCUUUGAAACUGCUUGACUUGAGUAUUGGAGAGGGUAACGGAAUUCCAGGUGUAGCGGUGGAAUGCGUAGAUAUCUGGAAGAACACCAGUUGCGAAGGCGGUUACCUGGCCAAGUACUGACGCUCAGGCUCGAAAGCUGGGGGAGCAAACAGGAUUAGAUACCCGAGUAC